CUCUGUCCCGCACGCCCUGCAAGGAAGCCAGACCGGUUUGCAGCAGCAGAGCAGCCCGCAGUCGGACCUAACGCUCUAGUCGGCACAGGAAGAGAGCGACUCCCUCCCAGUUGGGUCGAAGCAAGUGGUACAGUUCAGCUUUAUCACUUCCUUCCACUUUCCCCUCCUCAGACAAAACAAAACACUUGUGGGAAAGAAAACUUGCGUUCUGUCAGAGGAAGACCAGCAUUUGAUGACCCUUGCUUGAGGACACUCCCUUGAGGCUCUACAAAGAGCACCUGCAGGCAGUUUUGAAAUCUUUUAACAACCCCACCCCCAACCCCAACUCGAGUGAAUUUGUGGUGGUUUAGUAUCACCCUGGAAUGAAGCAUAAAAAUUCCUUUAUAACAAAAAA
rnacentral:lncRNA from 1 species